rnacentral:rRNA from 1 species
GUCGAGAAUCUUCCGCAAUGCGCGAAAGCGUGACGGAGCGACACCGCGUGAUGGAUGAAGUCCUUCGGGGCGUAAACAUCUUUUAUAAAGGAGGAAAUUUUUGACGUUACUUUAUGAAUAAGGGGCUCCCAAUCUCGUGCCAGCAGGAGCGGUAAUACGAGAGCCUCAAGCGUUAUCCGGAAUCAUUGGGCGUAAAUGGUGCGUAGGUGGUUUGAUUAGUCUCCCGUUAAAACUUCGAGCUUAACUCGAAAAGAGCGGGGGAAACGGUCAAACUAGAGUAUGUGAGAGGUGUGUGGAACUCAUGGUGUAGGGGUGAAAUCCGUUGAUAUCAUGGGGAACACCAAAAGCGAAGGCAGCACACUGGCACAUCACUGACACUGAGGCACGAAACCUAAGGUAGCGAAUGGGAUUAGAUACCCCAGUAGCC